GACGAACGCUGGCGGCGUGCUUAACACAUGCAAGUCGAACGGAAAGGCCCUGCUUUUGUGGGGUGCUCGAGUGGCGAACGGGUGAGUAACACGUGAGUAACCUGCCCUUGACUUUGGGAUAACUUCAGGAAACUGGGGCUAAUACAGGAUAGGAGCUCCUGCUGCAUGGUGGGGGUUGGAAAGUUUCGGCGGUUGGGGAUGGACUCGCGGCUUAUCAGCUUGUUGGUGGGGUAGUGGCUUACCAAGGCUUUGACGGGUAGCCGGCCUGAGAGGGUGACCGGCCACAUUGGGACUGAGAUACGGCCCAGACUCCUACGGGAGGCAGCAGUGGGGAAUAUUGCACAAUGGGCGGAAGCCUGAUGCAGCAACGCCGCGUGCGGGAUGACGGCCUUCGGGUUGUAAACCGCUUUCGCCUGUGACGAAGCGUGAGUGACGGUAAUGGGUAAAGAAGCACCGGCUAACUACG
rnacentral:rRNA from 1 species